CCUACGGGAGGCAGCAGUGGGGAAUAUUGGGCAAUGGGCGCAAGCCUGACCCAGCAACGCCGCGUGAAGGAAGAAGGCUUUCGGGUUGUAAACUUCUUUUAAGAGGGAAGAGCAGAAGACGGUACCUCUUGAAUAAGCCACGGCUAACUAAGUGCCAGCAGCCGCGGUAAUACGUAGGUGGCAAGCGUUGUCCGGAUUUACUGGGUGGAAAGGGCGGGUAGCCGGGAAGACAAGUCAGAUGGGAAAUCCCGCGGCUCAACCGCGGAACUGCAUUUGAAACUGUUUUUCUUGAGUACCGGAGAGGUCAGCGGAAUUCGUUGUGUAGCGGUGAAAUGCGUAGAUAUAAGGAAGAACACCAGUGGCGAAGGCGGAUGACUGGACGGCAACUGACGGUGAGGCGCGAAAGCGUGGGGAGCAAACAGGAUUAGAUACCCGAGUAGUC
rnacentral:rRNA from 1 species